UGGGGAAUAUUGGACAAUGGGGGGAACCCUGAUCCAGCCAUGCCGCGUGUGUGAAGAAGGCCUUAUGGUUGUAAAGCACUUUAAGCGAGGAGGAGGGUACUGGUAUUAAUACUACCAGCUACUGGACGUUACUCGCAGAAUAAGCACCGGCUAACUCUGUGCCAGCAGCCGCGGUAAUACAGAGGGUGCGAGCGUUAAUCGGAUUUACUGGGCGUAAAGCGUGCGUAGGCGGCUAAUUGAGUCGGAUGUGAAAUCCCCGAGCUUAACUUGGGAAUUGCAUUCGAUACUGGUUAGCUAGAGUGUGGGGGAGGAUGGUAGAAUUCCAGGUGUAGCGGUGAAAUGCGUAGAGAUCUGGAGGAAUACCGAUGGCGAAGGCAGCCAUCUGGCCUAACACUGACGCUGAGGUACGAAAGCAUGGGGAGCAAACAGG
rnacentral:rRNA from 1 species